CACCAAUCGUGGCGGCAAUGCUGAGAAUGAGCUAAAUCCCGGAACAAUCCAAUCCCUCCAUCUUCUUGGGGGUAAACGAAUCAACAGAUUGCUCCUCAUCACUCUGUGACUCCUACACACCUUCCGCUGUCUUGCAGAUACUCUCGAGUUCGACCCCUACUCCCCCUCGCACGAAGACCACAACAUAUAAAACAAAAGGGACGAGAAGAGAAAAGAGAACAUGGGAAGCUGAUUGCGAAGACGAGUGGUACACAUGGCGAACCUCCCAAUCAAGCUGCGGAUGCCUAGCACUUUCACUAACAUCAAAGAGAUCGCACUUAAGACCAUCCCUUCCGCGUCCAAGAAACCAAGCGCGUCCUCGAUUCCCUCCAGGGCUUCGAGGUCGAGAAGGUUCAAACCCUCAACAUGGAGCGCAACAGGAAGAAGAAGCGAGGCGGCCUGUUGGUCGCAAAACCCGACUACAAAAAGGCAUACGUGACGCUGAGAAACCCUCUCUAGAGCCAGAUGAACAAGCAAUCCAAGUCGAGCGUAGGGGACAAAUUCGACAAUCGCCAGCAUGGCAACGUGGCGAAAUUUCCGUGGAGCAGUAUGAGGUUUGCUGGUGAUGCGAAGUAGACUUAAUAUGAAAGGUCAUAUUUUUACUUUUUUUUUUUGUUCUGUUGAGAUUAGUGAGCAAUGGGAUGUUGGGUGUCUAAUGCCUUUUGAUUUGUGAACUGUUUGAUGCAUUAAAAUAAGUUAGUCGUUUGAGAGGAAAGAAGAAUUAUAGAAGCCUUUAGAUGGAAAGUGGAUUGUGGAGAAUUAAGAUUUUGAUGAAGAGAAUUCUGUGAUUGGCGUUGGAGCUCCAUUGUCGAAAAAUGCGUGAUUGGCGCUUCUCUAAGAAUUUUUGCUUACCGACUAUGCAUGUGGUUGCAUAUUUGGCCAGUUGGACAAAUCUAGGAGGUAUUCCACAAAUUACAGCCGUAUGGAAGAUGGUUCCUAUCUAUAUUCUGUGGUGCUUAUGGCAGAAGCGAAAUGACCAGAUGUUUGAAGACAAGGAGCACUCAUUAGAGGAACUUAGAUCUCUUUUUAUUAUAACUUUAUUUGUAUGGGGCCAUAGCUGUAGAUUUUAAUGGCCUUAGUGUUCAUGACUUUCUUGUUUCUAUUUCUUCUUCUUAGAUAGGUUUUACCUCUUGUAUACCAUAUUGUGUACUUGGGUUAUGCCUAUUCUUAUUAAUACAAUCCUUUACUUAAAAAAAGAAGAAGAAAUACGAUCUUCUAUUCUUCAUUGCUAACUGAUACAAAUUCUAUGUGCAUCUGCUAUAUUUUUUGAGCUUGGACAAGCUAGAAGGCAGAUUGUCAUAUUUCUCUGCAUGAUCCUCUGAAGGCUCUUUGAUGGACUUAGCAUUUAUAGUACAGGGUGUUUGUUCCGAUGGUAAGUCAAUUAGGAAAUGGAUAACCUUCGUCUGAAGUGGUUGGGUAUCUGCUUUCCAGCUCCAGUUUCUUUCCCUUCCACUUUAGUAUGGAAAGAGUUCUUGAUCUUUCUCCAGCUGAAACUCCAUUGGAAUAUGUUCGUUUGCUUGUUGCCUAGCUUUUCAUACUCCCACUGUAACUCAGAGUAGUCAUUCUGCAGCUCUGCCAUAUUCAUCUUAACAACUUCAAGCUCUGUCUUGAGCGUCUUUAUCUCUGCAUCUGUAGAUGACUGGUUUCCCUCCUGUUCGGAGAUAUUGCCGCUUGGCGCUGGCUCCUUCUCUUGCAUUACUGCCCUCAUCUUUACUUGCUCUGAAAACAGCACCUGCACGAUUCAUCUUUAUUACUAGGGAGAAAUGUUAAAUUUGAUAUGCAUCAUACUGGUAUGCACUGUGCUCAUGGGUUUUAUGUAGAUUGAGUGCAUGUAUUGCUAUUGCUUAGCUGAAUGACUAUGAGCUUUUGUUGAGUGCAUCUUUUAUAUGUACCACGUUGGCAGGGGCUGUGCUCCUGAGGUUUCUGCAAUAUUGCUAUUUAUCUGAAGCGUCCUUUAUAUUACUUGUCUCUUUGACUUAUUGCUGGAAUUUACUUUGUUGGAAUGAUGACAUUGGGGCCCGGUAAUCACUCUAUCCAACAUUAGUUCUAAAAUAUCUGGUCUCUUCCUUCUAUUGUUAGUUGAAAUAGUUUCUUUAAAACCAAAUAUUUAAACUUUGCAGGAUAUGAAAGACUGACUGUUAUGACC